rnacentral:tRNA from 1 species
GGGGAUAUAGCUCAGCUGGUAGAGCACCUGCCUUGCAAGCAGGGGGUCAGCGGUUCGAAUCCGCUUAUCUCCACCA